rnacentral:tRNA from 1 species
GGGGAUAUAGCUCAGUGGUAGAGCAUUCGACUGCAGAUCGAGAGGUCCCUGGUUCGAACCCGGAUGUUCUCU